GCCCUGCCGUGGCCAGGGCUGGCUUGCAGGCACACAGCCCUUUAGAACAUACCGUUUAGGUGCGGCACGGAUGCGAUUUUGUUUACAGGGCAAUGGUCCUCCCGGUUACCCUCUGCCAGGAAUCCAGGCUCUUUUCCCAGAAAUAAUGCUCUUCCAAAGGGUAGAUAAAUAUCCCCUCCCAUUAUAUGGAGAGUUAAUAAGAUAACCUGAGAACUGCAGGCACACACCCAAGGGCAGCGCAUGGCUGGAGCAUGACCCUGUCACGGGAAGACUGAGGGCGUGGACGACACCAGACAGGUGACCGGAGAGCAGCGUACAGACCUCGGCGCCAACCGGGACUGGCUGCGGCACAGGCGGAGGAGGGAGGGGCAAGGAGGCACCUGACUAACAUGAGGAAAAUUCCUGGGUACAUCACCCCCAGAUGAAUGUCUAAGGAGAUUGUUCUGACCAUGAAUGACAUAUUCCAAUUUGGGGUUUUAUUUAAAAUUUCCCUGCAUUGAAAAACUUGAAAGACUCAAGACAUACUUUGUGGGUCCAGCUACUGAUUCAAGAGAAAAUUGCUAUGUUAGUAAUAGUCAUUUAUAUGACAAAAUUAUAAUAUUUCAAUAUUUUCUGCAAUAAUGAUUCAUCCCAUACAGCCGCAUUGGAAUGUUCAGAUAUGACAUAUAGAGCUCAUGCUUUAUUUUCCAACCUGUGAAUUGCCUUAAGAAUUUUAUUUAUCAGGGACGCCUGGGUGGCUCAGUUGGUUAAGCGCCUGAAUUUGACUCAAGUCAUGAUCUCAUAGUUCGUGGGUUCCAGCCCCACGUCAGGCUCUCUGCUGUCAGCACAGAGUCUGUUUCAGAUCCUCUGUCCCCCUCUCUCUGCCCCUCCCCUGCUUACAUUCUCCUCCCCACCCCCGGUCUCUCUCUCUCUCUCUCACUCACAAAAAUAAAUAUUAAAAGCGUUUUUAAAAA